CCAGACUCCUACGGGAGGCAGCAGUGAGGAAUAUUGGUCAAUGGCCGAGAGGCUGAACCAGCCAAGUCGCGUGAGGGAGGAAUGUCCUAUGGAUUGUAAACCUCUUUUGUCAGGGAGCAAAGUCACCCACGUGUGGGUGUUGGAGAGUACCUGAAGAAAAAGCAUCGGCUAACUACGUGCCAGCAGCCGCGGUAAUACGUAGGGGGCAAGCGUUAUCCGGAUUUACUGGGUGUAAAGGGAGCGUAGACGGUGAGACAAGUCUGAAGUGAAAGCCCGGGGCUCAACCCCGGGACUGCUUUGGAAACUGCCUGACUGGAGUGCUGGAGAGGCAAGCGGAAUUCCUAGUGUAGCGGUGAAAUGCGUAGAUAUUAGGAAGAACACCAGUGGCGAAGGCGGCUUGCUGGACAGUAACUGACGUUGAGGCUCGAAAGCGUGGGGAGCAAACAGGAUUAGAUACCCGCGUAU
rnacentral:rRNA from 1 species